rnacentral:lncRNA from 1 species
ACGGGCUCUGUAUUCUAGGGGGGAUUUUAGACGCUUAAAUAAUUCUUUUAAAAGAUCUCUGCUGACAUCCACGGGUCCUAUAAUUAACAUCUAAGCUUUCACAAGCCGGAAGUGUUCCGUCACCCCUAAAAAUACAGAGCCCCAUCUUUGUCUUCCUCCCGUGGUUUGUUAGCAAUUUGUCCAGUCCCCUGUUUCCUCCAUCCCUCUCUCGCCUUUACACAUGUUCGCCCCAGAUGCGGACAUUCAAGCCCUGCGUUCCUUUUACUUUUCUAAGUUUUGAACUCUGCCCUCUAGAAAAAUCAAAAGAUUACAGUCACUGGACAUCUGAUUCAGCUUUUUUUUAAUGCUAAAAAAAGACUCUAGCUAUAGCAGAUUUCCACAGCUGUUGUCCUAACGCCUCUGUGAUCUCCAACUCUGCUCCAGGCGACCCAACGACCCCCUCCCCCACCCCCCAGCAAAUGUGUCUUUGACAGAGGAAGUAUUUGAAAACUGGAGUAAGAAUUGAUUGAAUGAAGGAGGAAGUUGUAGCCAGCUUGAUAGACUUCCCGGACUCGGCCUGGGGAGCCAGUUGGACCUAAAAGUGAUUGAUCCCUGGGCAAGUUAAUUAACCUCUGAGGCUCCCUGCUCUGAUUCUUAAAGGACCCCACCAUUCAAAACAUCUCACAAGGUAUUGUGAAGAAUAACAGAGAUCAUAAAAUCCUAGAAACAGCCAUAUCUCCAAGGAGCCCCGGUCCUUUUUAUUAGAAACGAAUAUCUGGGUGCUAGAUGUAACUUGUUGCAAUUAGAGUGUCAUUGCUUCUGGGCCCUCCCUCUCAGCUGACAGAUUGAGGAGAUAUAGCAUGAGAAAUAUGCACAGCUCCUACUUGACAUACUGGAAAAUUCUGCGCAUCUUGGAAAACAAGACUAUUAUCCAGAAAAUUUCAGAUGCCAGGGUCAGCCUCAUGCCCUGGUAAAUUAGAUGUCUUGGCAAAUGGUACCCCGGUUUCUUUCUAGCUGUCACUGAAUGUGCUGAAGCAGAGAUAAAAGAGUUCCUCUGGCUGCAGGUGAGCACUCCUGCUUCCUGUCCCUGGGAUGUACCAGAGGCUGCUGAUACACAGCUAUAUCCAGAAGACGCCUUGGGGCCCCUUGCAAAUGGACCCCAGCUUCCUCAAAGACCUCAGCGUACGCCCUUAGUCCCUCGUAACUGC